UGUGAAGUGUGCGUGUCUGACGGAUG
rnacentral:piRNA from 1 species